ACUGCAGUCUGCAACUCGACUGCACGAAGCUGGAAUCGCUAGUAAUCGCGGAUCAGCACGCCGCGGUGAAUACGUUCCCGGGCCUUGUACACACCGCCCGUCACACCAUGGAAGUCUGCAAUGCCCGAAGCCGGUGGCCUAACCACUUAUGUGGAAGGAGCCGUCUAAGGCAGGGCAGAUGACUGGGGUGAAGUCGUAACAAGGUACC
rnacentral:rRNA from 1 species